rnacentral:rRNA from 1 species
GACGAACGCUGGCGGCGUGCUUAACACAUGCAAGUCGAACGGAAAGGCCCUGCUUGCAGGGUACCCGAGUGGCGAACGGGUGAGUAACACGCGGGUGAUCUGCCCUGCACUUCGGGAUAAGCUUGGGAAACUGGGUCUAAUACCGGACAGGAGCCAUCUUUAGUGUGGAGGUUGGAAAGUUUUUUCGGUUAAGGAUGAGCUCGCGGCCUAUCCGCUUGUUGGUGGGGUAAUGGCCUACCAAGGCGGCGACGGGCAGCCGGCCUGUGAGGGUGUACGGCGACCAUGGAACCUGGGUCCGGCACACGCUCCUGACGCAUGCAGCAAGGGGCAAUGUUGAACAAUGGACGCAGGGCGGAUGCAGCAUCGAGCCGUGGCGCGUGAAUGCCUUAGGGUUGAAGGCUGCUAUCGCUAGUGACCAGGGUUUGUAGUGACGGUACCUAGAUAAGAAGCACCGGCUAACUACGUG